CAUCACCCUCUCUUCCUUAAGUACCGCCUCUCCCUCUCUCUGCAACACAGUUUCUCUCCUCCCUCAAUGGCUUGCGCGCACACACACAUGGAUAACAUAAAAACUGCAACUCUUUAUGUACCAGCAUUAAUAUUUUAUACCUCAAGUACCCAUUUUAUGAACAACCCAGAAGCCAAGAUCCACUCUUUCACCAUUUUUCUCUAGAAUUCCCUAUCUCUGGUAGUGCCAAACACUCCGUUCUUUCAUUGAUUCACUGUCUCUUCCGAUUUAUGUUGUUCUGAUUCUUUUCUUUCUCUUUGUGUGCGUGUCAAUGCAGGAAGUGCUAGCUAGCUUGUUGUGGGAUUAUCAAUUUUUUAUUUUUUUUCUAUUAGCAAUAACAACUUAGCAUUAAUUUUUUUUUGGUAUGGUUAUAAAAAUGCGGGUCAAAGAAAUGCAUCCAUUAUGCUGCAUCUCACUAGAGAGUUCAGAAGUUCGGAGCCAAUCACCGGAUGCAACGUUGACUCGAGCAAGAUCGUUGCCGGAGACAUUUUUCGGUGGAUCUAACGGCAAUGUAGGGAGGACAGAGGUGGGAUCGAAGGCGACGGUGGCUGGAGUGUUGUACAAGUGGACGAAUUAUGGGAAAGGGUGGAGAUCGCGGUGGUUCUUGUUGAAAAAUGGUAUGCUUUCUUACUCGAAGAUUCGACGGCCACCGGAGAGUAUUAAUCUGGGUGAUGAUGUUAGAUUGAUCGGAGAAAUAUCGACGAAUCGAUUAUUGAGAUUGGAUAGUCGUGGCGGCAGUGGAAGACAGAAACUGCAAAAAACUGUUGGCCUUGUUCAUUUAAAGAUUUCAUCAUUUCGUGAGAGCAAGUCCGACGAUAAGCGGUUUUACAUAUUUACUGCUACUAAGACACUUCAUCUGAGAACUGAUUCAAAGAGAGAUAGAGUGGCUUGGAUACGAGCACUGGUCUCAACUAGCAACCUUUUUCCAUCAAGAUCGCUAAAUGAUAGUAUCUCCCUUGUUCCAAAUGAUUUGUCUAUCUCAACUGACAGGCUUAAGAAACGUUUACUUGAAGACGGUAUCAAUGAGAACAUCGUAAAGGAUUGCGAGCAGAUCAUGCUAUCCGAGUUCUCUGAAAUACAAGUACAAGUUAAAGUUCUUUGUGAAGAACGGUCCAAUUUGCUAGACACAUUAAGGCAAUUGGAGGCAGCUAAUAUUGAAAAUGAAACCUCAGGAAUUCCAGAUGGCGAAUAUCAAUUGACAAAGCAUGAAUUUUCAAGUUUAGGGCGUGGAAAAUAUAGUGAAUAUAGCACAACUGAGUCAUCUGAUGAUAUUGAGAAACAAGAGCUUGAGGAAGUGUCAGACGAAGAUGGAACCUUCUUUUAUGACACAAAAGAAUAUUUUACUGAACUGGCUGUCAGUGGUUUGUCAAUGACAGAAGUUUCAAAGUACUCUGAGAAGGAUAGGAGAUUUAAUCAGCUUGAUAAUGAAGAGAAAAUGCAUGCUGAGAAGCGAGUUUGCAGUUCUGGAUAUCCAUAUAUUGAACGGCGAAAAAAGCUUCCUGACCCGGUUGAGAAAGAGAAAGGAGUCAGUCUUUGGUCUAUGAUCAAAGACAAUGUGGGGAAGGAUCUCACACGAGUCUGUCUCCCUGUUUACUUUAAUGAACCAAUAUCCUCUCUUCAGAAGUGCUUUGAGGACUUGGAGUACUCUUAUCUUUUGGACAGAGCCUAUGAAUAUGGAAAAGCAGGGAACAGCGACCUAAGGAUCCUAAAUGUUGCCGCUUUUGCUGUCUCUGGAUAUGCUUCCUCUGAAGGCCGGCACUGUAAACCCUUCAAUCCUUUGCUAGGAGAAACUUAUGAAGCUGACUUUCCUGAUAAAGGAGUUCGUUUCUUCUCUGAAAAGGUUAGUCACCACCCAACUCUCAUUGCCUGCCACUGUGAAGGUAGAGGGUGGAAGUUCUGGGGUGACAGCAACCUCCGCACAAAAUUUUGGGGGCGGUCGAUUCAGCUUGACCCUGUUGGAAUCCUGACCCUAGAAUUUGAUGAUGGUGAAAUAUUCCAGUGGAGCAAGGUCACAACAACGAUCUAUAAUCUUAUCCUUGGUAAAUUGUAUUGUGGUCACCAUGGGAUGAUGCAUAUACAAGGAAAUCGACAGUAUUCAUGCAAACUGAAGUUCAAAGAACAAUCUAUUCUUGACAGAAAUCCUCACCAGGUUCAAGGGUUCGUUGAAGAUGCUUCUGGUAACAAAGUUGCUUCAUUAUUUGGGAAGUGGGAUGACAGCAUGUAUUAUACUACUGGGGAUGAGACUGGCAAGCCAAAGGAUCGGAUUCCCUCAUCUAAUGCCACCUUGCUUUGGAAAAGGAACAAGCCACCUCUUAAUCUCACCCGGUACAACUUGACGACAUUUGCUAUCACCCUAAACGAAUUGACGCCAGGACUCCAGAUUAAGGAGAGGCUCCCACCCACGGAUUCCAGGCUUAGACCAGACCAGCGGCAUUUGGAGAAUGGGGAAUAUGAGAAAGCAAAUGCAGAGAAACAACGGCUGGAGAGGAGGCAAAGAAUGUCAAGGAAAUUACAAGAACAUGGAUGGAAGCCCAGAUGGUUCCAAAAGGAAGGUGAUAAUGGAUCUUUCCGCUAUGGUGGUGGCUAUUGGGAAGCUCGGGAGCAGGGAAAUUGGGAUGGAUGUCCAAAUAUUUUCGGUGAAUUCAAUGAAGACCUAGUGGAAUCCUCUGAAGGGCCCUGACUUGAUUUAGGUGUGUAUUCUUCCAGAAAACCGCAUUUUCACACUCCUUUAAAUGCGGCUCCUUUGGCUGAUGAAUUGCCAUGGUGGAUGCCUGAAAUUUUUUGCAAUGCUGCACCAUUGUUUAUGAAAGGGGUGUCCCAGAGCAAGCUGUGCACAUUAAUUUGGUCGGGUUUAUCAUAUUCCAGCCUUUUUAAAAGGUUUUAGUCCAAGUUUGACUAUGUUUUUCUUGUGGGCGCUUGAGCGGGAACUGGUUUUUGCAGUUCAUAGGGGAUGGAUAGGAUUAGAGAUAUUUCUUCUUGUAACAUUCUUAAUUGUCUGCUAUAAGGUGUUAUUUUUGUAAUGUACUCACUCUCUUCUGUCUGUUAUAGUUCUUUGAACUGCACUAGCCAUUGGCUAAAAAAUUUAUUUUGAUAUUUAUUUUUCUUUUUAGAAAUAAAAGAAAAAGAAAAAGGAAAUAUAUUGUUGUCAUCA